rfam:Triticum aestivum genome assembly, contig: Triticum_aestivum_CS42_TGACv1_scaffold_320542_4BL
CGUCUACUCCCUGCCGUUCGGAAUUACUUGUCACAAAAACGGAUAAAAAUAGAUGUAUCUACAACUAAAAUACAUCUAGAUACAUUAAUUUUUUGGACGAGUAAUUCCGAACGGAGGGAGUACAGC